rnacentral:rRNA from 1 species
UACAGAGGGGGCAAGCGUUGUUCGGAAUUACUGGGCGUAAAGGGCGCGUAGGCGGCCUUCUAAGUCGAACGUGAAAUCCCCGGGCUCAACCCGGGAACUGCGUCCGAUACUGGAAGGCUUGAAUCCGGGAGAGGGAUGCGGAAUUCCAGGUGUAGCGGUGAAAUGCGUAGAUAUCUGGAGGAACACCGGUGGCGAAGGCGGCAUCCUGGACCGGUAUUGACACUGAGGCGCGAAAGCCAGGGGAGCGAAACGGG